UACAGAGGUGGCAAGCGUUGUCCGGAUUUACUGGGUGUAAAGGGUGCGUAGGCGGAUUUGCAAGUCGGGGGUUAAAGACUCUUGCUUAACAAGAGAAAUGCCUUCGAUACUGCAUGUCUAGAGUGCCGAAGAGGAAACUGGAAUUUCCGGUGUAGCGGUGGAAUGUGUAGAGAUCGGAAAGAACACCAGUGGCGAAGGCAGGUUUCUGGUCGGUAACUGACGCUGAUGCACGAAAGCGUGGGGAGCAAACAGG
rnacentral:rRNA from 1 species